CCAACGGCCCUUUUCAGGGCCAUUUGUUGUCAUCUUGAAAAUGCCA
rfam:Trichinella patagoniensis scaffold9s, whole genome shotgun sequence.